AACUGCAAGUUCACCGCGGUCAACAAGUAGUUCAAGUAUGGAUAUCACACCUCGUCGACUGUCUGACAACAGCUGACAUUUUAAAUUUCAAAUUCCUUGGCAGAAAAUUCCAUCUGAGAUCAUCAGAAAGCUGGAAACAAGAAAGCGGCCAACAAAAAGCGAGAGACUUGAAAUCAUACGGCUCAUUGUCAGUGAAAUCUUAACCGUGUGCCCAACACCUGGGAAGAAACAUCAGUGAGAUAGCAAGGAAGAUGACAAAGGCCUACCCUGUGGCAUUUACUGAUGUCAUUGAAGGUGAAGUUGUAGGCAGUGGGUAUAACUCACUCACCAAACAGAUGGUCAGCAGAGUGGAUAACCUUAAGAGAAGAAACACUUCACUUUCCUUAAAGAGACAAGUUAUAAGCAGCAGUGAAGGAGAGGAUACCCCACCUCAGAAAAGAAGACAAGACACUUACGGGUGUAUAAACUGGCAAGCAACACGGCUGCCACCUGAUGAAACUCCUGAAUCCCAGAAACAUGCACAAGAAGAGUUAAAAAAAUGUGGAGAGAAAGAUGCUGUGACAGCAAAACCAUUGAGAAAAUGAUGAGAGCCACUUUCUUCACUCAGAGAAAAGACAUUAUCAGUGGGACUGAGACUUCUGACUUGACAAAGGAAUGGCCAUAUCUGUUUGAGACAACUGGCAUGAAGACUCAUUUUAAAGAGCUUACAGGCGUGGACAUGGAAGACAAAAACAUAGCAAAUAAAUGUGCCAGAGUUAUUUCAUUUCUUAAAUCUAGUGACAAGACAGGGAAGAUGGAGACCAUCUUCAGGGAAAUGGAAACAUCAAGCAAAAACGUUGCAGAUGUGAAUGUUGCAGCGUUUCUUCCACUGCUCCUCAAGUACUUCAAUGAAGAAGAAGAACAGAUGUUCUACAAAGUGGAUCAAACAACCUUGCCCUCUGAAGUGGACUGUGCUGAACUUCCAAGUACACCAUGUAUUGUUGUGUGUGGUUGUGAUAUUUAAACCCUCCAGCUUACCUGCUCAUUCCUGGCUAUUCUGCUGCUGCUGCUGCUGCUGUCACCGCUGCUCUGUUGCUGCCUGUGUUUUGCCAUUGCGUUUGCUGCUGCUGCUUGUACUGCUCCUGAGGAAACUCGACUUUGGCAGCGGAGAAUUUCAUGCUGUCUGCGGACCAGACCAUUGUGAAUGGCCACAUCAGAAUCUUCAGUGAUGCUCUUAUGCUGAUGUUUGGUUCAUACUACUGUAUGAACAUAUCUUACCCAGCAGCCCAAGCAUCAACUUUGGAGUUCUUACAGAGGUGCCUCUUCAAGAUAAAUCCAGACAAGGGAUCAAAAGUGGAGCGGAACGCCACCAGAAAACAACUCGCAGUCAGUCCAAAGGUUCUCACACUGAUCACCAAAAUUGCAGACUACGAGUGGAGGGAAUAAGAAGUGCUCCAAGUUAUGGAUACUUUGUCCAAGUUAUAGACUGUUAUAUCCAGUGAGGUUUCAUGUAAGCUAUUUGUUAUGUAGCUUUGUUAUCAAUGUUGUGGAUGUAUAAUUACUUGACCAACUUAUGGAUGCCUUGGAUAGAGUAUAGAUUCAUUUCCAGUGAGGUUUGACGAAGUUUGUAAUCAAUGUUGUGGAUGUAUGGUUACUUGACCAGGUCAUGGUGCCUUGGAUUAAGUAUGGAUUCAUUUCCAGUGAGGUUUAAUGCAGGUUUGUAAUCCAUGUUGUGGAUGUAUGGUGACUUGACCAAGUUAUGGAUGCUUUGAAUGUUGCUGUAAGUUGGUAACUCAACUUUUUUUUUUUUUUUUUUCUUUCAUUUCCAAUUCAGUUGAAUUUUAAUAGCUAGCUUUUGUUUUUUUUGUAUGAGAACCAGACAGUCAUUUUAAUUUAAUUGAUUUUUGAAUUUUGCUGUAAUAAUGGUUACCCGUUAAGUUAAAUAAAAAUACUGAGAAUGGGAAAUUGUAGCUGUUCUUGUUCAGCUUAGUCUCAUUCAAACACAACAGUUCGUUUAAGCCCCUUUUCCCACUGGCCAAAAACCAGUUUAAACCAUUUAAAAUUAAAAUAAUUCUGGCAUA